rnacentral:rRNA from 1 species
AUAAAUGCAAGUCGAGCGAACAGACGAGGAGCUUGCUCCUUUGACGUUAGCGGCGGACGGGUGAGUAACACGUAGGUAACCUACCUAUAAGACUGGGAUAACUUCGGGAAACCGGAGCUAAUACCGGAUAAUAUUUCGAACCGCAUGGUUCGAUAGUGAAAGAUGGCUUUGCUAUCACUUAUAGAUGGACCUGCGCCGUAUUAGCUAGUUGGUAAGGUAACGGCUUACCAAGGCAACGAUACGUAGCCGACCUGAGAGGGUGAUCGGCCACACUGGAACUGAGACACGGUCCAGACUCCUACGGGAGGCAGCAGUAGGGAAUCUUCCGCAAUGGGCGAAAGCCUGACGGAGCAACGCCGCGUGAGUGAUGAAGGUCUUCGGAUCGUAAAACUCUGUUAUUAGGGAAGAACAAACGUGUAAGUAACUGUGCACGUCUUGACGGUACCUAAUCAGAAAGCCACGGCUAACUACGUGCCAGCAGCCGCGGUAAUACGUAGGUGGCAAGCGUUAUCCGGAAUUAUUGGGCGUAAAGCGCGCGUAGGCGGUUUUUUAAGUCUGAUGUGAAAGCCCACGGCUCAACCGUGGAGGGUCAUUGGAAACUGGAAAACUUGAGUGCAGAAGAGGAAAGUGGAAUUCCAUGUGUAGCGGUGAAAUGCGCAGAGAUAUGGAGGAACACCAGUGGCGAAGGCGACUUUCUGGUCUGUAACUGACGCUGAUGUGCGAAAGCGUGGGGAUCAAACAGGAUUAGAUACCAUGGUAGUCCACGCCGUAAACGAUGAGUGCUAAGUGUUAGGGGGUUUCCGCCCCUUAGUGCUGCAGCUCACGCAUUAAGCACUCCGCCUGGGGGAGUACGACCGCAAGGUUGAAACUCAA